rnacentral:misc_RNA from 1 species
GAUGAAGAACUCAGCGAAAUGCGAUAAGUAAUGUGAAUUGCAGAAUUCAGUGAAUCAUCGAAUCUUUGAACGCACCUUGCGCCCUUUGGCCAUUCCGAAGGGCAUGCCUGUUUGAGUAUCAUGAACACCUCAACUCUUUAUGGUUUUCCAUGAUGAGCUUGGACUCUGGGGGUUUUGCUGGCUCACAGUCGGCUCCUCUAAAAUGAAUCAGCUUACCAGUGUUUGGUGGGUAUCAUGGGUGUGAUAACUAUCUACGCUUGUGGUUUUUCCACCAGGUAACCUUCAGCAGUGGAGGUUCGCUGGAGCUCAUAGAUGUCUCUCCUCAGUGAGGACAGCCCUUUGAAUGUUUGAUCUCAAAUCAGGUAGGACUACCCGCUGAACUUAAGCAUAUCAAUAAGCGGAGGA